ensembl:rRNA 5S_rRNA 5S ribosomal RNA
GUCUACAGCCAUGCCACCUUGAACUCACCCAGUUGUGUCUGAUCUUGGAAGCUAAUCAUGGUCAGGCGUGGUUAGUUCUUGGAUAGGAGGAUAUCUGGGAAUAUGAAGUGCUUUUCUUU